rnacentral:rRNA from 1 species
UCCUACGGGAGGCAGCAGUGGGGAAUAUUGCACAAUGGGCGAAAGCCUGAUGCAGCGACGCCUCGUGAGGGAUGACGGCCUUCGGGUUGUAAACCUCUUUCAGCAGGGAAGAAGCGCAAGUGACGGUACCUGCAGAAGAAGCUCCGGCUAACUACGUGCCAGCAGGCGCGGUAAUACGUAGGGUGCGAGCGUUGUCCGGAAUUAUUGGGCGUAAAGAGCUCGUAGGCGGCUUGUCGCGUCGGAUGUGAAAGCCCGGGGCUUAACCCCGGGUCUGCAUUCGAUACGGGCAGGCUAGAGUGUGGUAGGGGAGAUCGGAAUUCCUGGUGUAGCGGUGAAAUGCGCAGAUAUCAGGAGGAACACCGGUGGCGAAGGCGGAUCUCUGGGCCAUUACUGACGCUGAGGAGCGAAAGCGUGGGGAGCGAACACGAUUAGAUACCCUGGUAGUCCACGCCGUAAACGUUGGGACCUAGGUGUUGGCGACAUUCCACGUCGUCGGUGCCGCAGCUAACGCAUUAAGUUCCCCGC